rnacentral:rRNA from 1 species
UACGGAGGGUGCAAGCGUUAUCCGGAUUCACUGGGUUUAAAGGGUGUGUAGGCGGAUAUUUAAGUCAGUGGUGAAAUCUCCGGGCUCAACCCGGAAACUGCCAUUGAUACUAUUUAUCUUGAAUUCUGUUGAGGUGGGCGGAAUACAUCAUGUAGCGGUGAAAUGCUUAGAUAUGAUGUAGGACACCGAUUGCGAAGGCAGCUCACUAAACAGACAUUGACGCUGAGGCACGAAAGCGUGGGGAUCAAACAGG